rnacentral:rRNA from 1 species
AGAGUUUGAUCCUGGCUCAGGACGAACGCUGACGGUGUGCUUUAGACAUGCAAGUCGAACGAGAAAGCCCUUCGGGGUGAGUACAGUGGCGAACGGGUGAGUAGCACGUGGGUAACCUGCCCCUCGCAGAGGGACAACCGGGGGAAACCCCGGCUAAUACCUCGUACGCUUGCCGGGCCGCAUGGCUCGGCAAGGAAAGGUAGCUUCGGCCAUCCGGCGAGGGAUGGGCCCGCGGUCCAUUAGCUAGUUGGUGGGGUAACGGCUCACCAAGGCGACGAUGGAUAGCUGGUCUGAGAGGACGAUCAGCCACACUGGGACUGAGACACGGCCCAGACUCCUACGGGAGGCAGCAGUCGGGAAUCUUGCGCAAUGGGCGAAAGCCUGACGCAGCAACACCGUGUGGGCGACGAAGGCCUUCGGGUCGUAAAGCCCUGUUGUUGGGGACGAAGGGCGAAGGGUUAAUAGCCCCUAGUCUGACGGUACCCUUCGAGGAAGCCCCGGCUAACUACGUGCCAGCAGCCGCGGUAAUACGUAGGGGGCGAGCGUUGUCCGGAAUUAUUGGGCGUAAAGAGCGUGUAGGCGGUUCGGUAAGUCUGCCGUGAAAACCUGGGGCUCAACCCCGGGCGUGCGGUGGAUACUGCCGGGCUAGAGGGUGGUAGAGGCGAGUGGAAUUCCCGGUGUAGCGGUGAAAUGCGCAGAUAUCGGGAGGAACACCAGUAGCGAAGGCGGCUCGCUGGGCCAUUCCUGACGCUGAGACGCGAAAGCAUGGGGAGCGAACAGGAUUAGAUACCCUAGUAGUCC